CCCUUAGAUGUUCUGGGCUGCACGCGCGCUACACUGAAGCUAUCAACACGUUUUCCCUCCCUGAGAAGGGCGGGUAACCUUUUGAAUCAGCUUCGUGGUAGGGAUCGGGGCUUGCAAUUGUUCCCCGUGAACCAUGAAUUCCUAGUAGACGCGAGUCAUAAGCUCGCAUCGAUUAAGUCCCUGCCCUUUGUACACACCGCCCGUCGCUACUACCGAUUGAACGUUUUAGUGAGGCAUUUGGACCGACGCAUCUCAGUUUAACCGCUGGUUUGUGUUGGAAAGACUUCCAAACUUGAGCGUUUAGAGGAAGUAAAAGUCGUAACA
rnacentral:rRNA from 1 species